rnacentral:rRNA from 1 species
AUUGAACGCUGGCGGCAGGCCUAACACAUGCAAGUCGAACGAGUGGCGGACGGGUGAGUAAUGUCUGGGAAACUGCCUGAUGGAGGGGGAUAACUACUGGAAACGGUAGCUAAUACCGCAUACCAUCGGAUGUACCCAUAUGGGAUUAGCUAGUAGGUGAGGUAAUGGCUCACCAAGGCGACGAUCCCUAGCUGGUCUGAGAGGAUGAUCAGCCACACUGGGACUGAGACACGGCCCAGACUCCUACGGGAGGCAGCAGUGGGGAAUAUUGCACAAUGGGCGCAAGCCUGAUGCAGCCAUGCCGCGUGUAUGAUGAAGGCCUUCGGGUUGUAAAGUACUUUUGGCAGGGAAGCGGUAUCUGCAGAAUAAGCACCGGCUAACUACGUGCCAGCAGCCGCGGUAAUAC